GAUGCCAGGGUCAAAAGGUCUAAGCCCACAUGAGCUUGCUCAUAAGUGGGUGAAAGACCUUUUGACCCGCCCCGAUAUUCGCAUAAAAGUGGGAUGAUAAUCCCACGAUAUGCGAAUAUUGGGUAGGAUUGUGGGAGUGCGUAGCACGGAACAAUCCGUAGGCAUC
rnacentral:sRNA from 1 species